GUCCCAGGUCUAAAUCAGACCCUGAUUAGAGGGGAAUCACCCACCUGGUGUCCCAGGUCUAAAUCAGACCCUGAUUAGAGGGGAAUCACCCACCUGGUGUCCCAGGUCUAAAUCAGUCCCUGAUUAGAGGGGAAUCACCCACCUGGUGUCCCAGGUCUAAAUCAGUCCCUGAUUAGAGGGGAAUCACCCACCUGGUGUCCCAGGUCUAAAUCAGUCCCUGAUUAGAGGGGAAUCACCCACCUGGUGUCCCAGGUCUAAAUCAGUCCCUGAUUAGAGGGGAAUCACCCACCUGGUGUCCCAGGUCUAAAUCAGACCCUGAUUAGAGGGGAAUCACCCACCUGGUGUCCCAGGUCUAAAUCAGUCCCUGAUUAGAGGGGAAUCACCCACCUGGUGUCCCAGGUCUAAAUCAGUCCCUGAUUAGAGGGGAAUCACCCACCUGGUGUCCCAGGUCUAAAUCAGUCCCUGAUUAGAGGGGAAUCACCCACCUGGUGUCCCAGGUCUAAAUCAGUCCCUGAUUAGAGGGGAAUCACCCACCUGGUGUCCCAGGUCUAAAUCAGUCCCUGAUUAGAGGGGAAUCACCCACCUGGUGUCCCAGGUCUAAAUCAGUCCCUGAUUAGAGGGGAAUCACCCACCUGGUGUCCCAGGUCUAAAUCAGUCCCUGAUUAGAGGGGAAUCAACCACCUGGUGUC